AUUUGGGGUUUGGGGGGAUUGUGACUAGUAUAAUUACAGUGUCAGGGACAGAAGUUAAGUCACCCUGAGAUGUCAGGAUGCUGCUGGGAGGGAAUGAGGCCUUCGUCCUGGGGUCUGAGAGAUGAGGGUGGACAGGGGUGGUGGUGAUGGGCUUCUCUGCCUCCCUGGAAAUCACAGAGGAAGUUCUCAGCACUGCACUGCCUUUGAAGAUGAAUACAACCUCUCUGGUCUGCAAUGCUCCUGGUAGACCAAGGCAGAGAAACUCAGGUCCUGCUGAAGGAGCCAAAGGGAUUCAAAAACCACAGCCUGGACCCCACGGGAUAUCAAGCCAGCCCAGAGCUUCUGGACACCAGCAAGUGGUGAGUCGGAGAUGGGGACUGCUGCAUCGCUGUUCCCUUUGGGCUCUCUUUCUAGCUUCCCGCGCUCUUCUCCCCAGCUCCAUUUCUCCCCAUUCCUCAGUUUCUCUCCCUGUCUCUGUGUCUCCCUCUCAGCCCUCCUCUCAUCUGUCUCCACCUCUCUGUCUCUCCCUGACCUGUCUCAGUGUGGUCUCUGCCUCCGUCCCUCCCUCGGCUCUCUCUGACUCACUCUCCCGCCUCCGUCACCCCCCUCCCCGGCUCUCUCUCCAUUUCUUCUCCCUCCCCCAUCUUGCCCCAGCAGCCCCACCUUGCUCUCCCCACACCCCACCUACUUUCCCGUUUCUUCACUGGUUGAGUCCCCUUUGCCCUAUCGCCUCCCCUGUGUUGGUCUCUUCCUGA
rnacentral:lncRNA from 1 species